rnacentral:rRNA from 1 species
CACGUAGGCGGUCUGGCAAGUCAGGUGUGAAAGCCCUCGGCUCAACCGAGGAAUUGCACCUGAAACUGCCGGACUAGAGUCCGGGAGAGGAGAGUGGAAUUCCCAGUGUAGCGGUGAAAUGCGUAGAUAUUGGGAGGAACACCUGUGGCGAAGGCGGCUCUCUGGACCGGUACUGACGCUGAGGUGCGAAAGCGUGGGGAGCAAACA